UCUUGUUUUUUGUUUUUUUUAAAUCCCUCAUUGCCACCAUGGAAAAUUAUUAAAGAGUUAUGGCAUCUGAGUAAAUGGAGCUGGGAGAUAGAGAGGAAGGGAAUAAGAAAAAGAAGUUCAGGGUGUUUUAGGCCACAGUGGACCUUGAGCUGUGUGAGUCAUGGGGUACUUAUUUUCAUAGCUGUCUGUGGCUGAAACCCCACCAGAAUAGCUGUAGGUGUUAGGAAUAACAGUCUAGCAGGGUAUUUGUGUAUUGAGAAGACCUUUAUUAGUGCUGCUAGUGGCACAGACAAGCAGCCAGUGGAAAGACACACAGACAGCAGCGCCUUCAGUGUCUCGUAUCACUUAUUUUAUUCACCUUUAGUUCCAAAGGCAGUGUUACUGUACCCUCUGAGUGCUCAAGAAUUGUUUGUGUAAUCCUUGGAAAUUCAGCCCUCAUUUCAUCAAAUAACAGGAUGAACACAUACUCAGCCUUGAGUGAAAUGUGUUUUUUUGAUCAUCAGUGAAGACACUCUAGCUCUGAUUUCAUUGGUCUGAGGUGUGGGACGAAGAGACUGGAAUUUUUUUUUUUUUUUAAAGCUCCCCAGGUGACUUCGAUAGGCAGCUGAGGUUGAGAUGUGUCUUUCUUAGAAGACACGAAGAGGCUUACAGAGCAAUGAUAUAUUUUACCUAUGCUCGUUGCUUGACAGUUUCAGAAAGGCUGUGUAUAGCCUAUUGCUAUUGUUAAUUUGAGUUACCAUAAGGAAAUAAACUUAAAGGUUGAGUUUAUCACCUGUUCACAUUUAGAUAACUCCAAGAAACCUAGAAGGUAUUUGUAUGAAAAGUAAAUUUUUAAGCACAACUGAACCAUCUGAGGAAACAAAUAGUCAAGCGCUUACAGCAUACAGGGCCUGCUCUCUGUGUGCUGGUCCCCAGCUCUUCACUGCACCCCCCCACCCCCACCCCUCCAGGCAGGUGGCUCAUGUAAUAGCAGACCUGGUGUUUUGUAUUCCCAAACCUUCAGUGGACCUUUUCCUACCCCAUAGGAGAGGAUCAUGCCAAUCUGGUUUGUUUCUCCUAGUCUGAUGUUGGAAUGAUUGGGAACAGGAAAUGAUUCUGAUUAGGCCCCAAACAAGCAUAAAAUGAAAACCAGUGCUCUAACCACGAACUUCUAAAAUAAAUUAUGCAGAAGAAUAAAGACAAGCAGGGAAAAGUUAGUUUAAAAUCAUUUGUUGUUUCACCUUCUAUAUCUUUUCUUUCCUUCCUUUUCUUCCUUCUAGCAACAUAACAUCUCUCUUAAAAGGAGAUUAAAACUUUCAAAGUAAUGUGUGCAGUGAAAACGUGUCAAAAGGUAGAAGAUGAAAAAUAAGACUUUUACCCUCUUGAUGUGUUUUCGAAAUGCAAAUUCCAUUCCCCAGUAUAACUAGGUAAUCUCUGAAGUUUUUUUUAUAAAUCAGAGUUUUAGAUUUUAGAGCAGGGCCCCUGGGACCAAAUAUGUGGAUUGUAUAUAGGUUACACUAUGGAUAACUCCCUGUGGUGUUGGGUGGUGUAUACCCCCCCGGCCAUAUGAUAUGCUUGCUCUUUAUAGAGUAUACAUACAUUGCCUUCAGAGCAAAAUGAAGUAGAAUUGUACUUAAUGUACUGUCCUGUCUCUUGUCUUUUUCACUUAAUAGCGUAUAAUGGAAACUUUGCCUUUGUUUUUAUUCAUUUAAAAAUUUUUAAAAGAUGUUUAUUUUUGAGACAGAGCAUGAGCAGGGAAGGGGCAGAGAGAGAGGGAGACAGAGAAUCUGAAGCAAGCUCCAGGCUCUGAGCUGUCAGCACAGAGCCCGAUGCGGGGCUCAAACUCACGAACCAUGAGAUCAUGACCUUAGCCGAAGUUGGACACUUAACCGACUCAGCCAUCUAGUAAGAGUAUUACUGUAUUGUCAUGUUGCCAAAUUAUUCUUUAAAAGGUACUGAUUUACAUUCCUAUCAGUGUGUGCAAGUACUUGCUUACUUGUUUCCCCCGUUCUCACCAACUUUGCAUUUUACCAAACUUGAAAAAUGUUUGCCUGUUGUUUGGUAAAAUGUUUAUUCCAAAAAUGUUUUUAAGUGACUCCUAUGUGUUAGGUUUUGUGUUUGGUGCUCGAAGACUAUAGUAAAUUGCAGGCCUGGUUCCUGAUGUUAUAGAAGUUCAGGGUUUAUAUAAGUGAGGGACAAAAAGUAAGCAAAUCACAAUUUACAAUUACUUUGUGUAUAAAUUUAUCAUGGAAACAAAGGGGCAACUGUAAUAAUCUGUUAUGGUUUAAUUUAAAGCUUAAAAUGCCACAGAAAUAGGCCUUGUUGCUGCAGUGUUUUUCUUCUCCUUUGUAAUACAUUUUCUGUUUGAUUUCUUGUUGUAUCUUCUAAGUAAUCUAUGUCUAGAAUUCAAGAACCUUUUCCUUUCGCUCCAGAUGCAUUAAAUAUACAGUGGAUGCCAACUCUUCAGCCUCUCCUUUCAGAACAUUUCUAAAAUGAUACCAUUUUUCUUUUUUAGGGGCCUACUGUACAGUGCAUUGUGAAGAUGAGAAAGUUCUAGUAAUUUGAAGUAAGAGUUGAUAGAAAACCUUGUGUUUUAAAUAAAUUGUGUUUUAUAAUUCUGUAAUGUGCUUAUUGGUCUCAAAUAAUCGGUGACUUUGGAUAGAAAUAGCUUAGGUUGUGGGAUAGCAAGAGUUCCUAGUUUUUACUGUGUGUCAUAUACACCUUAGUGCAAUGUCUGAUGUCCUUUUUCUGGUCUGUCUAGAGCUUUGCCUAACAUUGUUGCAUGAAAAUGCUUAAAGCCUGAGGCAUUGUGCAGUAUCCAUCCAGAUGUGCCCAUGUAGGGCUGUUCCCUCUUGGGCUGAUGCCCUUGCCUUAAAUUGUGUGUAAACCUCUGCUUCCUUAUUACUAGAGUCUGGUUCAGGGCCUCCUCUCAGAACUGGAGCAUGAAUUGGCAAUAAAUGUCCUGCCUGUAGCGAUUUAUUUUUCUUUUCUACACCGUUUCAGAGAUAGAAAUUUUCUUGAAAUUUGAAGGGAGAAAAGACUAAAAGCCUAACAUUUCAAUUUGCCAGCUAUUGCUGACUCGUAAUAAAGCACUGCUGUCAAAUUAGUGUGGUUAGUGUUUGUGAACACAUCCCUUAAAUGACCCACUUCUCUCACUUCCUUCCCGUCGAAUGCUCUUUGUAGUUCCCAUCUUCAAGUUGCUUUCCAUUUUGGUGGAAUUCUUUCACUUUUAACUUCUAAGUUUUUUUAAGAACUUGAUCUUCUCAAAUUUGUGUCUAAAUUGAUACAGAACGUUAGGAAUCCAAGACCUGAUCUUGCUCCCGAGAGCCAUGAGUGUUACAUUAAACAGGUUAAAAUUUCUAUGCUGUAGUUUUCUUCUCUGUAAAAGGAAGAUGUUGGACUAAAGAGUCACUUUUUUUUUUUUUUUUUUUUAAGUAAUCUCUUCACCCAACUUGGUGCUUGAACACACGAUCCCAAAGAUCAAGAGUUGCAAGCUCUACUAACUGAACCAGCUGGGUAGCCCUCCAUCUUUUUCAUUCAGGUCAAUAAUUGCUUGCAUAUACUGCAUCUACCUGUUGGUCAUGAAUUAAAAAAAAAAAAAAUGUUCGAGCAGGUGUGGACUGUGAGCAGUCACUUUGGGAUGUUUAUUUUAUCAAACAAUUAUCCCCUCAUUUACAGAGUGAAACGGUAUUCAUUUUCCAUGUGGAAGUUGAGAGAUUAUAAUCUGAGUUUAGGAAAUGUGUUUUCCUGUUAGUCUGCUUUAGAACUUGGGGCCAGGCGCUUCUUUGUGUCUUGGCAAACGGACUCGGUGUGUGCUGGGCCCUUUACAUCUCUGUUAAUGUUCUGGUAGGUCUAAAUGAACACUGUACUGAAUGUGUUUUACUAAAGUCAUUUAGUUGGGAUGAAAGUGAAAUACCAUUUUCUAAUGGCCUUCUAGAUGACUUAGAGCCUACUAGGUCUAUGGAGCUGGUUGAAGGCAGGAACACUGCAUGGAAAGUUAGAGUUUAAUUCACUUACUUUUGUAUCUGUUAAUCCCUUAUCUUUCUUUAAAGUUUUGUUUCAGAAUUUAUUCAGGAUAUAUUCCAGCAGAUCCUGAGAUUACAAGACCCUAAUUUUUUCCCCGCCUUAUUCAUGGUUAAAAGUGGACCUGAAAAGUGCAUUUCUUAGACUGCUUUUCCUCUGUUUUGAAUGCUUGUAUUUUGCUUUGCAAAAAGGGCAGAGUGACUUUUGGGCUAAAUGCUCAGCUGGUGUUUUGUUGCUUUCUGCAGAGAUCUUGAAAAUAAUGGUUCUUUUAAGGUCAAUUGUUAUUUUCUUUAUCAUAUGAAGAAAAAAAUAAGACCUUUAGGAAGCACUGCUUUAAAUGAUCUUCCUUGAAUAUUAGUUCACUGUUACUUCCUCCCAAAAUGGAGGAAAUAACCUCCUGUUAUAGGCUCAUUGUAAGAUUCAAUUGAGAUAAUGAUGUGAAAACAUUGAAACCCAGACCUAAGAGGAAUUGAGUUAAUCUAGGAUUACUUAUCAAUGUCUCAGUAACUGAAAGUUUAAAAUGUGUUUUGUCUACCAGCUUACUCCAUGUGUGCAGUUAAUCCAAGAGGCUCUGUUUUUCAGCAAAUGGAGAAGGAGUCAUUUCUUUAGGGAUCAUAGUAUGGGAUGAAACAUUCUAGCUGCCACAGGAAACAUGUUUUUUUUUUUUUUU